rnacentral:rRNA from 1 species
CCCGGUUAUUGCAAUGUUGACGAUUACCUGCCCGACGAUGUACAUUAUGAUCCCAUGGAGGUGCAGAUACACAGAUACGAGUACGGGAAGCCUCUCGUCAAAGAUAAAAAAUCUUUAACAAUGAUGAUGCGAAGAUUACAUGAUUGGUACUUGAAAAUCUGCAGAGAGUCUGAGGGGAGGAGUACUUUGUAUGCGAGAGUUAAACCGGAGCAUGACCUCGUUGGAAUUGAACUGUUGCCUAUUCCAUUUGAGGAGUUCUAUCAGUUUUUCAAUCAAUUGGCCCUCGAUAAAACAACGGUCACCUGCUACUGUCUGUAA